GGUGGGGGGGCGCUGGAGUCCAUCCCCGCCAACUUCGGGCGAUAUAAUGUGCAUCAUACAACAUUUAAUUAUGGAAUUGUUGUAAUUCGUUUAGUUUGGACUGAUGUUCCCUGAUCAAAAGUUUCACUAUGAAUGAACCCACUUUUAUUAAAGUGAAUCCAAAAAGUCCCUUGGAGUUUGUGAAGGAAUAGCAAUGAAUAUUCAAAUCAAAGCAUUUUAUUCCCAAUAAAAUCAUAUCAUGUGACAUGUUAUAAUUGAUGCUCUUUAAUAAUGUGAUGGAGGAUUGAAUAAAUCUUCCAUCAAACUAUUAAAUAUCCAUUGACCAGGUGGAAGUGAUAUGGUUACACUACACAUAAAGAUACUUCCGAGAUGGGCCAUGGCGCUGUAAUGACGUCACUAUUUAGCUCAGGUUGACGGGCGUCACUGAUGACGCGUCCAAGAUGGCCGACAAGCACCUGAGCUGUAACUUCCGCUGCCCGACUGUUCCUGAAGCUGCUCCGUAAAGACGAAUAGAGAACAGAGUUAGAUGACCGAAGUGAGACUGACUGAAAAUGUUGGAGGAGCAGCUGGAGAAUGACAAGGCUCAAGACAAGCGGAGGAUGGAGGACAAAAUUAACAAGAACUGCUGAAUGAUCAGAGACGCUUGAAGGUCCUGGAUGAGACGAGAACGGGAGCACGGAGCAAAACAUUUGUGUUGUGCUUCUCUUGAGGGCGCAGUUUCCAGCCGUGAGGACGACGGGUUUCUUCCUCUGCGGUUACUCUGACAGUGGCGGUGGUUUGACUUUUUUUUAAUGUUCUAUGCAGCUGAAUUUGAAUAAAGAAAAAUUUUAUAUAACCUCCUGCGUGUGUCUCAUUGAAAGCCCGGGAGGAGACAGACGUCUCUACUCUACCGAGGCGACGCACACUGAUGUCCUCACUGCAGUGGGGAUUGAACCCGGGUCUGA
ensembl:lncRNA